rnacentral:sRNA from 1 species
GUCGUAUCGAUUUGAUCGGGAUAGUCAUCAAAUAAAUCAGAAAACCGAGAUGACUUCUCUUGUUGAUGGCGGGCCACAUUAAUCGUAUUUCUACGGCUAAACCGCAAGGUCGGUGGAUUACAAAGACAGAGAACUCUCUUAUCAUAGAUACUCGGACUUUUCAUCACAUCAUCGAUACGACUUUUC